rnacentral:misc_RNA from 1 species
GUUUAUUAAUUGGUUGACUUUCUCAGAAAAUCAAGUGGGCUUGACUGAUUCUCAUUGUUGUAAUCGUUAGCUCCAACUGAUGAUAAGAAACUAUAAAUUCUGGGUUUUGGGUCUAAAGUUGCUCACACUAGCUCAUACGCACCUUCAAAAAAAACAAUUAUAAUGGCAAUGGAAAUCUACAGUAAUUCCGCGUCUUGGGCUUUCUUUUGUUUCGCUGUAGCGAUCCUAUCUGCUAUUCUCUUGACACACAAGAGGGGUCAUAACAAGAACAAGAAGAAACUGCCGCCUGGUGAAAUGGGACUUCCUUGGAUUGGCGAAACAAUGGAGUUCUUCAAAGCCCAACGCAAGAACCGAAUGUUCGAGGAGUUUGUUCAACCUCGAAUGGCAAAAUAUGGGAAGAUAUUCAAAACAAGGCUGAUGGGUUCUCCAACAAUUAUAGUCAAUGGAGCUGAAGCCAACAGGUUUUUCUUGUCGAAUGAGUUCAAGUUGGUGAUAAGCUCAUGGCCUACGACCUCUGUUCAGCUCAUGGGCAGCAACUCUAUCAUGGAAAAGCAAGGAGACCAGCACCGUUGCCUCCGUGGACUAAUAGGCAAUACUCUUAGCUCUGCAGGGCUUGAGGUUUUAGUAUCAAAAAUAUGCAAGUCAGUUGAGCUGCACCUAGAGAAAUAUUGGAAUAAUAGCAUAGAUGGAAUCAGCCUUUACCAUUCUACCAAAGUGUUGACAUUUACUAUAGUUUUCGAGUGCUUGUUAGGGAUCAAAGUUGAGUCUGGAACUUUUAGUACUUUUGAGAGAAUUUUGGAUGGGGUGUUUGCACCACCGCUUGCAUUUCCUGGGUCUAGGUUUAGUAAAGCGAAGAAGGCAAGGAAGGAAGUGGAAAAGAUGUUGGUAAAGAUAGUGAGGGAGAAGAAGAAGAAGAUGGAAGAAGGAAGGGAAGGAGAGGAGGAGGAAGGAACUUUGCUUUCU